rnacentral:lncRNA from 1 species
AUGAAAUUGAAAAUGUAAUUAAAAACUUAUCACCUAAGAAAAGCCCGGGCCUCUGACUCUGCUGCUCACUCGUCUCUCCCCGGCGCCACCUCUCCCAUUUUGGAAACCUGGUCCGAAUGGCACCAUCCACCGGACAUUCCCCAAAUCAAGAUCAAAAGGGCCGGCUUGCAAGUGAACUCACCUGGAGCAGACAUGGAGCCUCCCUUGUGCCUUCCCCUUGCUCAGGUGGAAUAUCUAGAGCCCCACGAGGCCGAAACAGAUGCUCCGGCUCCAUGUCCAGAACACCAUGGGCCUGCUCUGCAGCCAGAGCCAGCACCAGAGAAGGAGCCUCCUCUGGAGACAGGAGAGAAGCAGAAGCCAGCUCCACAGCACUCCUGCCUCUCUGCUGCCGCUGA